AUUUGCUACUGAAGCCAUUCACUGGGCCACCUAGCGACUAGAUCUCAUUUAAUCAUACUCCAGAAAGUGCUGUGAGGAUCACACAGCGAUUGUUUUGGACUGAGACUGCAGGCAAGAAACCCAGAGCCGGACAGGACAAGCAGAUAUGCUCCCUCUGUUCUUGAAGCUGGAAACAAUCGUUAAGUAAACAAUGAAAGAUACAGUGUGUUUUACAGGCAAACCUAAUCAGACCCAGAGAAAAUGAUGUUAAGCUAGGAACCAAGGGAAUGAAGGAGCCAGAUGCAGAGAUUUGGGCCAGGCCCCUCACCUAUAGAUUUGGGAACAAGUUAAGGCAGAGGCCUGAUCUGCAGUCUCAUGUUGGCCCUGAUUCAUGGUGGUCAGCACGUAAGGUUAGCCACUGAGCAGUACCACAAAAUGGCUGUGACCUUGAACGGACAAAGAACUCAGGAAGUGACAGUUCUGGGUGAUGAUAAGACAGGACAACCUGGUCUUGGACUAAAAAUGCAGUUUUGAUCAAGAAGAAGGAAGACUAAAGUGUGGAUACUUCAGUCCUUCUUAGAAUGGGGAACAAAAUACCCAUGGAAGGAGUUACAGAGACAAAGUUCGGAGCUAAGGCGGAAGGAAGGACAAUCCAGAGACUGCCCCACCUGGGGAUCCAUCCCAUAUACAACCACCAAGCCCAGACACUAUUGCAUAUGCCAGAAAGACUUU
rnacentral:lncRNA from 1 species